GUCGUCGGACAUCACAGUUCCGUCGAGACGUCACGGUUUCCACUUUCCGCACGGACAGCCCGUGUCGAUCGUGAGAUCUCGGAUCUCGGCCCGUGGGGAUACUGUGGUUGAAUUCGGCCCCAGUUUCCUUUGGUUGUCGUAAGAGUAGACUAAAGUGGCCUGCCUGAUGUCCUUCUCCGACGCCUGCUGUUGUCACCACGGCAGCCACAGCAGCCACCACAGCAGGCACGGCAUCCCCGUCCCCAUCCCCUACCCCAUGGGAGGCAGCAGCGGCGGCAGCCACUCCUCCAACAUCCCUCUCAUCAUCACAACACCUGGAAAAUAGAUACAGGUGCUGCCUCUCCUGCUGGCGGGAGAUUGUCUGCUACAUCAACACGAGACGACAAAUACGACAUGCUGCGUACUCCAAACACUGUGUUUACUGCUCAUGUGAAAUUAAAGAAACAAAUAUUCA